AUUGAACGCUGGCGGCAUGCCUUACACAUGCAAGUCGAAUGGCAGCACGGGUGCUUGCACCUGGUGGCGAGUGGCGAACGGGUGAGUAAUACGUCGGAACGUACCUUAUCGUGGGGGAUAACGCAGCGAAAGCUGUGCUAAUACCGCAUACGCCCUGAGGGGGAAAGCGGGGGAUCGAAAGACCUCGCGCGAUUAGAGCGGCCGAUGCCUGAUUAGCUUGUUGGUGGGGUAAAAGCCCACCAAGGCGACGAGCAGUAGCUGGUCUGAGAGGACGAGCAGCCACACUGGGACUGAGACGCGGCCCAGACUCCUACGGGAGGCAGCAGUGGGGAAUUUUGGACAAUGGGGGCAACCCUGAUCCAGCAAUGCCGCGUGAGUGAAGAAGGCCUUCGGGUUGUAAAGCUCUUUUGUCAGGGAAGAAACACCGGCUCUAACACAGUCCGGGAAUGACGGUACCUGAAGAAUAAGCACCGGCUAACUACGUGCCAGCCGCCGCCGUAA
rnacentral:rRNA from 1 species